rnacentral:misc_RNA from 1 species
CCCUUGGUCAUUUAGAGGAAGUAAAAGUCGUAACAAGGUCUCCGUUGGUGAACCAGCGGAGGGAUCAUUACCGAGUUUACAACUCCCAAACCCCAAUGUGAACGUUACCAAUCUGUUGCCUCGGCGGGAUUCUCUUGCCCCGGGCGCGUCGCAGCCCCGGAUCCCAUGGCGCCCGCCGGAGGACCAACUCCAAACUCUUUUUUCUCUCCGUCGCGGCUCCCGUCGCGGCUCUGUUUUAUUUUUGCUCUGAGCCUUUCUCGGCGACCCUAGCGGGCGUCUCGAAAAUGAAUCAAAACUUUCAACAACGGAUCUCUUGGUUCUGGCAUCGAUGAAGAACGCAGCGAAAUGCGAUAAGUAAUGUGAAUUGCAGAAUUCAGUGAAUCAUCGAAUCUUUGAACGCACAUUGCGCCCGCCAGUAUUCUGGCGGGCAUGCCUGUCCGAGCGUCAUUUCAACCCUCGAACCCCUCCGGGGGGUCGGCGUUGGGGAUCGGCCCCUCACCGGGCCGCCCCCGAAAUACAGUGGCGGUCUCGCCGCAGCCUCUCCUGCGCAGUAGUUUGCACACUCGCACCGGGAGCGCGGCGCGGCCACAGCCGUAAAACACCCCAAACUUCUGAAAUGUUGACCUCGGAUCAGGUAGGAAUACCCGCUGAACUUAAGCAUAUCAAUAAGCGGAGGAAAA